CCUACGGGUGGCAGCAGUGGGGAAUAUUGCACAAUGGGGGGAACCCUGAUGCAGCGACGCCGCGUGGGUGAGGAAGUCCUUCGGUAUGUAAAGCCCUAUCAGCUGGGAAGAAAAUUACGGUUCCUGACUAAGAAUCCCUGGCUAACUACGUCCCAGCAGCCGCGGUAAUACGUAGGGGGCGAGCGUUAUCCGGAAUUACUGGGGGUAAAGGGAGCGUAGACGGCGAGACAAGUCGGAUGUGAAGGCCGGGGGCUCAACCCCGGGACUGCGUUUGAAACUAGCCGGCUGGAGUGCAGUAGAGGGAAGCGGAAUUCCAUGUGUAGCAGUGAAAUGCGUAGAUAUUAGGAAGAACACCGGUGGCGAAGGCAGCUUGCUGGGCGGUAACUGACGUUGAGGCACGAAAGCGUGGGGAGCAAACAGGAUUAGAUACCCGUGUAGUC
rnacentral:rRNA from 1 species